UGCAGUCGAGCGGAUGAGAGGAGCUUGCUCCUGGAUUCAGCGGCGGACGGGUGAGUAAUGCCUAGGAAUCUGCCUGGUAGUGGGGGACAACGUUUCGAAAGGAACGCUAAUACCGCAUACGUCCUACGGGAGAAAGCAGGGGACCUUCGGGCCUUGCGCUAUCAGAUGAGCCUAGGUCGGAUUAGCUAGUUGGUGAGGUAAUGGCUCACCAAGGCGACGAUCCGUAACUGGUCUGAGAGGAUGAUCAGUCACACUGGAACUGAGACACGGUCCAGACUCCUACGGGAGGCAGCAGUGGGGAAUAUUGGACAAUGGGCGAAAGCCUGAUCCAGCCAUGCCGCGUGUGUGAAGAAGGUCUUCGGAUUGUAAAGCACUUUAAGUUGGGAGGAAGGGCAGUAAAUUAAUACUUUGCUGUUUUGACGUUACCGACAGAAUAAGCACCGGCUAACUCUGUGCCAGCAGCCGCGGUAAUACAGAGGGUGCAAGCGUUAAUCGGAAUUACUGGGCGUAAAGCGCGCGUAGGUGGUUCGUUAAGUUGGAUGUGAAAUCCCCGGGCUCAACCUGGGAACUGCAUUCAAAACUGUCGAGCUAGAGUAUGGUAGAGGGUGGUGGAAUUUCCUGUGUAGCGGUGAAAUGCGUAGAUAUAGGAAGGAACACCAGUGGCGAAGGCGACCACCUGGACUGAUACUGACACUGAGGUGCGAAAGCGUGGGGAGCAAACAGGAUUAGAUACCCU
rnacentral:rRNA from 1 species